AGGAAUAUUGGUCAAUGGACGAGAGUCUGAACCAGCCAAGUAGCGUGAAGGAUGACUGCCCUAUGGGUUGUAAACUUCUUUUAUACGGGAAUAAAGUGAGGCACGUGUGCCUUUUUGUAUGUACCGUAUGAAUAAGGAUCGGCUAACUCCGUGCCAGCAGCCGCGGUAAUACGGAGGAUCCGAGCGUUAUCCGGAUUUAUUGGGUUUAAAGGGAGCGUAGGCGGACGCUUAAGUCAGUUGUGAAAGUUUGCGGCUCAACCGUAAAAUUGCAGUUGAUACUGGGUGUCUUGAGUACAGUAGAGGCAGGCGGAAUUCGUGGUGUAGCGGUGAAAUGCUUAGAUAUCACGAAGAACUCCGAUUGCGAAGGCAGCUUGCUGGACUGUAACUGACGCUGAUGCUCGAAAGUGUGGGUAUCAAACAGGAUUAGAUACCCUGGUAGUCCACACAGUAAACGAUGAAUACUCGCUGUUUGCGAUAUACAGUAAGCGGCCAAGCGAAAGCGUUAAGUAUUCCACCUGGGGAGUACGCCGGCAACGGUGAAACUCAAAGGAAUUGACGGGGGCCCGCACAAGCGGAGGAACAUGUGGUUUAAUUCGAUGAUACGCGAGGAACCUUACCCGGGCUUGAAUUGCAACUGAAUGAUGUGGAGACAUGUCAGCCGCAAGGCAGUUGUGAAGGUGCUGCAUGGUUGUCGUCAGCUCGUGCCGUGAGGUGUCGGCUUAAGUGCCAUAACGAGCGCAACCCUUGUUGUCAGUUACUAACAGGUGAUGCUGAGGACUCUGACAAGACUGCCAUCGUAAGAUGUGAGGAAGGUGGGGAUGACGUCAAAUCAGCACGGCCCUUACGUCCGGGGCUACACACGUGUUACAAUGGGGGGUACAGAGGGCCGCUACCACGCGAGUGGAUGCCAAUCCCUAAAACCCCUCUCAGUUCGGACUGGAGUCUGCAACCCGACUCCACGAAGCUGGAUUCGCUAGUAAUCGCGCAUCAGCCACGGCGCGGUGAAUACGUUCCCG
rnacentral:rRNA from 1 species